ACUCUGAUGGCCGAGAUGUAGGCGAUAGACUGUAGAUCUAUUCACGGGACUAACUCCCUCAGGGAA
rnacentral:tRNA from 1 species